GCGGAAGGAUCAUUGUCAA
rnacentral:rRNA from 1 species